rnacentral:lncRNA from 1 species
AAUGCUGGGGAGCCUGGCGACCUCGAGCGCCAGGGGGGAAGAGCGAGAGCAGGCGUGACACAUUUAUUAUGUUCAAUAUAGGAGGACAAGAAGCAGCUCUUUCAGUAGUUUAGUUGGAAUAGGGUCCAGUAGGCAGCUGGAAGGUUUAGAGGCCAUGACUAUUUUUACAAAGUGCGCAGUUGGGUGCCAGACUGAUCCCCUUGUCAUGAACGGAUGCCGGAACCUACCAGAAGUAGCAAAGAUUCAUCUAUGGAGCCAGCACUUGGAGACUUACAAGAUGGAAAGGACUGUAGAUGCUUUUUCCAAGACUCCUUCCUCUGUUGUUUGAUGGGGAGACCAUUGGAAACAUGUAUGGCGCCAGCACGUGCAGACUUGCAAGAUAAUGUGAUGAAGUCCAGACUGACACACGGGCUUGAUGGUGAUGUCUCUGAAUGGAGAGAGACCUGGCACUCAGCAUUCAAAUUUAAGUAGACAACUUUUACUUGUAUUGUGUUUUUUAUUAUUGAAUUGAAUGAUAUCAGUCAAUAUGGGGUGGGAAAAUCCCUGUGUAUUCUGCACCAGCAUCAGGGAACUCCUGUUGUAUAAGGGACACCACACAGGAAGGUAUGACCACUCUGUUCGCCAAGGCCCUUUACCACCAGGCAAAAUGUUGAUAGGCACAGUAUCUGUAUCAGCUGGGAAUGACUACGGAAGGUGAAAGGUGCACAUUGUUUCUAUAGUAUUAUGUAAAGGGUUGUUUAUUCUAUAUGGACCUGUUUCUACAUUUGAAAGGUAUCAAAACACUUUGUUUAGAAUAUCUACAUAAAUUCAGCAAUUGCAUUCUCCUCAUAUUACUCUGCAGGUUACAGACCUAUUCAAAGCUUCCUCCGACAUCUGCCUAUAAAUAUUGAACUCAACCUGCAGGAUGUUUGUUUGUUGUGAUUGAGAGGGGGGAAACAGCUGCGCGCAAGGUUCUGACAGAUGUUUGUGCCUUAAUAGUGGUAAGUCGCUCUGGAUAACAGCAUCUGCUAAAUGACUAAAAUGUCAAAUGCAAAUGUUUUACAUACCGAUCGAAAUUGUAUUUAAUUGUUUUAUAUUGACGUCACAAAUGUAUCAUUUGUACAUUUCUUUAUAUAAAAAAAUAUUUGUGACAUUUGACAGUGUAAAACCUUGCAGGACUAGUUAUUUCUCUGAGAGAGGACG